AUGAAAUAUUUCUUUUUGAACCGAUCACCUCAACGACCAGAACCACGUCUAAUCGAUCUAGAUCGAGGUCAAGUCAUCGUCCUCGUCCCCUUCACUGUCCCCAACGCGCCCGACGAGAGGAAUCAAUUCACCGUCCUUUUCCACGUCCUCCUCCCCUUCACUGUCCUCGAGUGCUCGACAACAACAAGAAGAAUAAGGCACCACAUUGCGCCGGCUGAAUCGGCGGCGACGGGGGAAGACAUGACGGAUGUAAGUGAUGAGUGUUGGAUGCACGAGGAGGGUCAUUUACAAUUUCUGCCAUGCUACACAUACAGAACCAAUAAGUACGAUCCGCCAUUUGUGCCAUUUGUCGGGUUGAAUCACCACCGCAACACUAUUAUUUUUGGAUGUGGUAUCAUUUCUCAUGAAACAAGCCAGACAUACGAGUGGAUGUUGCAGACCUUUUCUGAUGCAAUGGGACAGAAGCAUUCGAUAUCUGUGAUCACGGACGGGGACCAGCAUAAAUGUUGUCAGCAAAUGUGUGAUCGAGAGGUUCUAGAUGCAUCAGAAGUUACCACCUAUGUUGUGUCUAAGAAGGAAAGAAUGGAUGAAAAGUUCGAAGUGCCCAGUGAGGAGCAGGAAGAAGAAAGACUGCCUAGGUGUUGUGUUCCCACUAGGUGGACAAUGAGUGCAAAAUCUGCAUACGCGCCGACCAAAAAGAGCAAGAUGUAUGACUAUUCGGCAAGCCUGCAGAGGUCGAGGUGCACCGAAGAAAAGGCUACAGACGAAGAUGAAGAAGACAAGAUCAUAUGGUUAAUGUGGCUAUUGCAAGGUGCCAAUUCACAAUGGACGUACAUGCAUCCAAUUGUUAGAGUGCAUAGCAUUAAUUAUAUUCUUCUGUGUGGGAUCUCAAAGCAAAACUCUGAUAGCUACAACUUUGUGCACACGGUCGGGGUGUACGAAAUCGACCAUGAACCUGAUAGUGUCAUGUGCCAUUGA
rnacentral:rRNA from 1 species